rnacentral:lncRNA from 1 species
GAUUUGUCCUUUGACUUGAAGUCGUUAUAGUAUCUUAGAUGAGAACAAUCAUGCCUUGACGGUAUUGGAUGUUACUCUGUCAAGGGCCGCUAAUACGGCAUCGUUUGGGUAUGUCAAGAAUCGUAUGAAGGUUGUGAAUGACCAAUAGAGGAUUCGUCACUCUUAGAUAGUAAGAAAUUAUGAUAUGCAUUUCAUUCAAUUAAGUCGAUAAUAAAAUCCUUGGUCAAGGUGUACUCAUAAGUGGAACAGGAGUUUUCGACUUAUAUUGACUUAAUAGUGGAAUGAAAGAUAUGACUGAUAAUCGAGAUUGACACACUUUCAUAUUUCAUAAUUGAUUGAAUCAUAUUGACGAAGGGAUUAUAGUUUCAUGGUCAACAAACAAGUUUGAUUUUGUCAUACCACGUGAAAUUUCCCAUCACAUGUAUUGCCCUGACAUAUUGCUAGAUAUCAAUUUGGGACGGCAAGUGUGAAUUGGUGAUAAAUUAAAAAUGUAUUUUAAUUUAUCAAUUUUGAUUAGAUCAAAAUAAUAUUUCAUGUCGUUAGGC